rnacentral:rRNA from 1 species
AUGUAUGUGGUUGGUGAAAGUGUGAGGAUUGAGGCAAAUCUAGAUGAGAUGACUUUGGCAGAGGAACAACAAAAAAUGCAAGACAAGCAUGUUGAGAGAGCUCCAGCCCCUACUAUGGUCACGCCGCACCCUGAUGGGUACGGGGAAAGUCUAAAGGAUCCUGAUGUUAUUGCUUCGAAGGGGCGUCCACAAGAGCGUUACAAGACAUUUUUGGAGAAAAUACAAGCAAAACAAAAAAUUGGUUGCAGUCAUUGUGGUCAGCAUGACCAUGUUUUUGCUUCGUGCACAAACAAACACAUCCCCAGGUCCCAAUUUCACAAGAAGACUACAGUCGGCAAGCAACCAACAGGAGUCCAUGGUGCUUCAAAGGAUAGUAGUAGGAAGAAACAAACAUGA